AUUUCCACUGCUGCACAGAGAGCACACGCAUCUUCGGUGGACUUGGAAUUCCUGGGGAAUUGCCUUUGUGAAAAGUUGGCAUAAUCCCUUUAAAUUCCAUCUCUUUUACGUUUUCUAUGUAAGUAUUUGUGAUUGUUACAAGUUUAUCUUAGGAGUUACUAAGUAUUA
rnacentral:other from 1 species